UCAUAGUUCUAUUUCUCUCUCCAAACACAAAUUUCACACUCUCUCUCGUCUCUUUCACCCAGACAAACCCUAUCGCCUCCCUCUCUUCUCUCGUCUCUCUUUCCUUUCCCAAAGCGCCGCAGCCACUUUCUCCACCCUCUAUACGACCAUAACCACCUCCGAUUACGAAACUAAUCUCAUAUUCAUUAUCCCCAUCUCAUUCCCUUCCAAAUGAACCGAAUAGUUGUUGGUUUUGGCGAAUCCUAUCGUCGACCACCGUCACAGCUCAUCUAAGAAAGAGAAAUCUCAAUCAUGGCUUCAAGUUUAAAGAGGGAAGUUUCCAUGUUUUUAUUUGAUUUAUAAUUUUAGUUUUGAAUCAUUGUUCUGCAAUUUUUAUUUUCAUUUGGUUUUGUUUUACGGUUUUUAUAGUUUCUGGUCUUGAAGGUGAAUAACAACAGUAGCAAUCAUCAUAAAUUCAUAUCAUUGUCUUGACGGUUAAUGAAUUUCAUCGAUGAUGAUGAUUGUUCCAUCGGUCAAAACAGAAUGAAUAUUUCUCGACCUUUCAUCAGUUGAUCUUGCUUUCAGACAUGUCAAGGCCUUCUAUCAUGAUUUGCGACUUACGGCCCAAACAAAAUAUAACUAAAGUUCUAAAGUUUUGGUGCUGCAUCGUGUAGAACUCUGUAAAUGGAAGUGUACCCAAAAUUCCAUACCUGUGGUUAGUGUUGAAUGAAAAGAUUAAAGUGAAUACAGUAUUUUUUAGAGAUUCAACUGGUGUACCUGAUUCUAUGUUGCUCUUAUUUGGCAAGAACAUAUCCAAAGGUGGACUGGAUGGUCACCUAAAAAUGUUGGGUAUCUGGUAUUUUUCAUGAAACCAGAAUUAGCCAAAACUUACUCAACUUUAAAGAGGGAACUGGGGGAAUUGAUUCAGAAAAAAGUGCUACAAUGCAAUUUAACACAAGUUCUUUUCUCGAUUGGAAGUGUAAGAGCUGAAUGUGAUUCUUCAAUGCAGUCAUUACAUGCCUAUAGCAAGUCUUAUGGAAAGCUGAAUGCGAU